rnacentral:rRNA from 1 species
CACGUAGGGUGCGAGCGUUGUCCGGAAUUAUUGGGCGUAAAGAGCUCGUAGGCGGUGUGUCGCGUCGGCCGUGAAAACCUGCAGCUUAACUGUGGGCGUGCGGUCGAUACGGGCAUCACUGGAGUUCGGCAGGGGAGACUGGAAUUCCUGGUGUAGCGGUGAAAUGCGCAGAUAUCAGGAAGAACACCCGUGGCGAAAGCGGCUCUCUGGAACGGUACUGACGCUGAGACGCGAAAGCGUGGGGAGCGAACAGG